rnacentral:rRNA from 1 species
UCUACGGAGAGUUUGAUCCUGGCUCAGGACGAACGCUGGCGGCGUGCUUAACACAUGCAAGUCGAACGAUGAAG